AGGAGGACAUUCUGAAAGUUUUGAGUUUUGGUAUUUACCUGGCCUUGAUUAGGUUGAGAACAAUUCAUAGCCGUAUCAAAAGCAUAGGCAUAAUUAUGCUGAGGUUGCAAUCCUGAUGAAUUCCUUUGUUCUCUG